UAAAGAAACGAAAAAGAGAGAUUGCGCUAACAAUCUCCCUUUGCAGCACCGUUUAAGGCGGUGACCAAUUUAACGAUUUUUUUAUU
rnacentral:sRNA from 1 species